UGUCGUCAGCUCGUGUUGUGAAAUGUUGGGUUAAGUCCCGCAACGAGCGCAACCCUUAUCCUUUGUUGCCAGCGGUCCGGCCGGGAACUCAAAGGAGACUGCCAGUGAUAAACUGGAGGAAGGUGGGGAUGACGUCAAGUCAUCAUGGCCCUUACGACCAGGGCUACACACGUGCUACAAUGGCGCAUACAAAGAGAAGCGACCUCGCGAGAGCAAGCGGACCUCAUAAAGUGCGUCGUAGUCCGGA
rnacentral:rRNA from 1 species